rnacentral:rRNA from 1 species
UACGUAGGGGGCUAGCGUUGUCCGGAAUCAUUGGGCGUAAAGCGCGUGUAGGCGGUUCGGUAAGUCCGCUGUGAAAGUCGGGGGCUCAACCCUCGGAAGCCGGUGGAUACUGUCGGGCUAGAGUACGGAAGAGGCGAGUGGAAUUCCUGGUGUAGCGGUGAAAAUGCGCAGAUAUCAGGAGGAACACCAAUUGCGAAGGCAGCUCGCUGGGACGUUACUGACGCUGAGACGCGAAAGCGUGGGGAGCAAACAGG